GGGCAACAAAGCUGGUGAGGGGUCUGGAGCACAGAACUUAUGAAGAGUGGCUGAAGGAGCUGUGAUUGUUCAGUCUGAAGAAGAGGAGGCUCAGGGGAGACCUUAUUGCUCUCUAUAACUACCUGAAGGGAGGUUGUAGUGAGCUGGGGGUCAGCCUCUUCUCUCGUGUGACUAGUGAUAGGACUAGAGGGAAUGGCUUCAAGCUGUGCCAGGGAAGAUUCAGGCUGAACAAUCCCAGCUCCUUCAGCCGCUCUUCAUAAGGCCUGUGCUCCAGACCCCUCACCAGCUUUGUUGCCCUCCUCUGAACAUGCUCCAGGGCCUCGAUGUCUUUCUUACAGUGAGGGGCCCAAAACUGGACACAGUACUCAAGGUGCGGCCUCACCAGCGCUGAGUACAGGGGGAUAAUUACUUCCCUGUUCCUGCUGGCCACACUAUUUCUGAUACAAGCCAGGAUGCCAUUGGCCUUCUUGGCCGCCUGGGCACACUGCUGGCUCAUGUUCAGUCUAGCGUCAAUCAACACCCCCAGGUCCAUUUCCUCUACAUAGUCUUCCAGCCACUCUGCCCCAAGCCUAUAGCGUUGCCUGGGGUUACUGCGGCCAAAGUGCAGGACCUGGCAUUUGGUCUUGUUGAAUCCCAUCCCACUGGCUUCAGCCCAGCUAUCCAACCUAUCCAGAUCCCUCUGUAAGGCCUCACUACCCUCAGGCAGAUCAACACUUCCAGCCAGCUUGGUGUCAUCUGCAAACUUACUGAGGGUGCACUCAAUACCCUCAUCCAGGUCAUCAAUAAAGAUA
ensembl:lncRNA